GAUGGCGGGCAUUGUUCUAAGUGCUUUAAAUAUAUGCUAACUCUGUUAUCCUCUUAACCAUCCUACAAGGUAGUUACUAUUAGUAUCCCAUUUACAUGUGGAAACUGAAGAAUACAGAGACUAAGCAAUUUGCUGAAGAUUACACUUACGGAGGCAUGUGGGACCUUAGCUCCCCGACCAGGGAUCGAACCCACACCCCCUGCACUGGAAGGUGGAGUCUUAACCACUGGACGGCCAGCUUACGGGAUCUUAGCUCCCCGACCAGAGACUGAACCUGUGCCCCCCGCAGUGGAAAUGUGGCAUCCUAACCACUGGACCACCAGGGAAUUCUAUAAAGAACUAUUAAGUAGAACAAGACAAGGUGGCUAAUUCCUAACAGGUGAAACAAAGCAAAAUCUUAAAUGUGCUGCUCUAGGGAUGUUUACCUCAAGGCGUACCCACAGAUCAAGACAGAGAUCGCGUCCUGCCUGUGGCCGGAGCUCUGGUCACCCAUCGGCCCUGCGCUGGCUGCGUGGCCCUGGGCAGGUCACGUACGGUUUCUGAGCCUCAGUUUCCUCGCCUGUAACAAGGUGAGAGUGAUGCCUACUCCAUAGCAGUGGACCUAAAUCCGGCGAUAAAUGGAUUUUAGCGCUGCUGCUACACGUGCCGUCGGGAGCCAGCUGGGAAGCUAGUUCAUGGAGAAGUGCAGGGACCUUCCACAGGCGGUCAGCACUGCCUUGAGCACCUCGGAAGCUUCCUGCCGGGACGCGUCUGAAAGGACCAGGAUGAGGUGUCACCCGGCGCAGGGUCCCUCAGCACCCGUGCGGGGCCUCCCACCUGCCUUGUCAUCCCCUGCCCUCAAGUGACCAGCUGCCCGGUCCAGCAUCUGCUGCACGGAGCCGCUGACUCAGAAACAGACGUCACAAAAAGCACAGUAAGUAAGUUCCACGUUCAGAGCUGCCAGGCUGUCGUAAAAGAGAAACCGAGGCCAGAGCAAGCCGGACCGGCCAGCUGAGGCUGCCAUGGCCCAUGGGCAGGCUGGGAUGGGGGCUGGGUGGAGGAGGAAAGCCACAGACUUACCUGCACCUGUGCUUUGGGACCCUGAAGGCCCUCCUGGGGGCUGCAGAGGGAGGGAGGGAGGGCCGGCCCCCGAGGAUGGCGAGGGAGGAUUCUGGCCGUGCUUCACCGCGUGCACCCCCAUCCCCUCUCCCUCACCUCCCUGGCCCCCGCACCCCGUUCCCAUCCCUGGGCCGAUGGGAGGAGGACCACUUACACUGUGGGAGAGAGGGGACCCUGAGUCUCCUGGACUCAGCCGCUGAAUGGCCAAAGGCACUUCAAGUGAAAGAAUGAAUUGGUUCCCACCUCUGCUAGCUACCGACUUGGGUCUGAGACACCCCUUUACCCACCGUAAUCUUCCUGCCAGCAGGCUCACUACGGCUCUCUGGUUUCGUGCUUCACCCUGCUGAAGACUUUUGAGUACUUUUCUUUUCUCCCAGAAGCAGAAUGAAACGCGCACAUACCAACUGGCCCUCUGGUGUUGGAGGUUAGGGUACCUGUGCAAAGUCACGGAGCAGGCGGGCUCGUUUCAUGUAAGGUUUCGGAGGAUUUCUUCUGAAUCAGUGGCUUUGAUUCUAAACACGUUACAGCGUGGAAAUCUCAACUGAGCUGCCUCAGUAACAACACAGCUCCGCCGAGGGCACGGUGGGUGAGAUGAGAUUAUCGUCUCUCAGUCCCAGUCUCUUCUGAAGCCACGACCCGCCUGGGGAGGCCGACAAGCGUCGGCAGGAAGUUGCCCUGCGUCCACCGGGCGCGCGGGUUCUCAGCGCCGGGCUCUAGCAGGUGGACGCCUCAGUUCUGCUCCUGCCCCUGAUCUACUCCCCACGCAAACCCCCCGCGUGGCUGGGCUCCUCCCAGCUGAGCGCACUCUCCGUCUCCUGCCCCGUCCGCUCUGCACCUCGGGGGCCUGGCCUCGUUCACUCUGAGCAGUAAAGUCUUCCAACCGAGGUGCACCAAGGGCCGAAGCUUCCGGGCAGGCUGGCGUUGCGAGAAGGAUUACGUCGCCGUGUGUGCUUGGAUUCCCUGGAGAAACAGAACCAAUGGAGCCAUGGUUUCGCGUUGGAACCUGCGAGCAGUCAGCAUGGAGCCUGUGAGAAGAGAUUGACCUUCUGAUAAAAGAAUGGACUUGCUUGCGGACCAGUAUCAGUAAUUCACCUGUAUUUUCUUCACUCAAGACCAUGUCAGUUCUCCAGCUCUGGAUUGCAGUUUAGCCUGCAGAGACCUUGGUUGUCUCCCUUCUCACCCUGAGAUCUUGUUGUGCGAAGUCAGGAGCCGUGGCAGCCAGUGUUCAUGAAACAGUGACUCUGCAAGUAGAUUAAAAACAUCAGGCCCUUCCCAGGUCUGGACAAGAGCCUGGGAUUCACUGAGCCACUGAAUUCCUUCACCCUGCAACUCCCUCCCUCCACGCAAAGUCCUUAUAAUUUCAGCCACUGUUCUUUGAGUAAUUUAAGCCUCUUUCCUUGCAGCCAAAUGCAUCUGUGGAAGACAGAGUGGAUUGGGUCCGUCAACUCCACUUCCCCUCCCAGCCACAGUCGCAGCCAGCAGCCAUCAGCCAGCAUCGCCUGCCAGCCCCGUGAGUGGGCAAGACCCCUUCAGAGGACUCGAGUCCCCACCACGAACUGCCACAGCUGACACCUGCUGGGGCAGGGACGUCCACCCCCUCUGAGAUCUGCCGGCCAAAACUGCAGAUCUGUGAGCAAAAUAAAUGUUUUGAAGUA